UGUUCCUGCAGCAGCAGACAGAGUGGAAGGCACAGCGGUAGCAUGAGAUGCCUAGCCCACGAAGGCCAUGCUGAUCCCACAGGGGCAGUCCGAGGUCCAAAACGGAAAGAAUCCAACCAGCUUCCAUGCAGGAAUAUCUAGAACAUCUCAGGUUCCUCCAGGCUCUCAGGGACAGGUGCACAAGCUCGGAAGAUGCCAAGAGCUCACCCAGAGAAGACAGAACAAGAAAGAUCCCACUAAAUCUCUGAGAACAAGUCACUGUGGCAUCUCUAAUCCCUGUCAAGUCAUUUUUCUGUGUUUUAAUGAAGAGCUUUUGGAAAUAUCAUUGUGUGCCAGGGCGUUGUCACUCCUAGUGCGUUACCAAGUCAAUAAAG